rnacentral:rRNA from 1 species
GAUGAACGCUAGCGGCAGGCCUAACACAUGCCAGUCGAGGGAGGAGCUUUCGGGCUUCGACCGGCGUACGGGUGCGUAACGCGUAUACAAUCUGCCUUUCACAUAGGGAUAGCCCGAAGAAAUUUGGAUUAAUACCUAAUGGUAUAUAGAGGUGGCAUCACCUUUAUAUUAAAGCUGAGGCGGUGAAAGAUGAGUAUGCGUUCUAUUAGCUAGUUGGAGAGGUAACGGCUCCCCAAGGCGACGAUAGAUAGGGGUUCUGAGAGGGAUAUCCCCCACACUGGUACUGAGAUACGGACCAGACUCCUACGGGAGGCAGCAGUGAGGAAUAUUGGACAACGGUCGGAAGACUGAUCCAGCCAUGCCGCGUGCAGGAAGACGGCCUUAUGGGUUGUAAACUGCUUUUGCAGGGGAAGAAUAAGGACUACGCGUAGUUUGAUGACGGUACUCUGCGAAUAAGCAUCGGCUAACUCCGUG